AUUCAGCUGAUGAGUCCCAAAUAGGACGAAACGCGUGUCCUGGAU
rnacentral:hammerhead_ribozyme from 1 species